GCCGAGUUGAGCCCAGGCGCUGUCCUUCCCCGUUGGGGAUGUGAUCCGAGGACUCGGGAAACCAAAGGAUGUCUGCGUCACCAUGAGAAAAACUUAAUGAGAACAGGGAAUGGAAACAGCGGGGAUGAAGAAAGUAUGACUCAGAAGUGAAUUGCCUAAGAUGUGCUAGAAUUGGGACUUCAACUCAGAUUUACGUCUGGCCAGGAUAGACCACUGUGCUCCCAAGAAACUGCAGGAAAAAAAGAAAACAACAACAAAGAAAGAAAACCAUUGUGGAGAGUAUAAUUUACUGAAUCUCUCCAACCUCAGCAUUAAGUUAAGGUCAUGAACAAUUUAAUAAAUAGGACAUGAAAUGAAGUG
rnacentral:lncRNA from 1 species